AGGAUGAGUCCGCGUCUGAUUAGCUAGUUGGAGGGGUAAAAGCCCACCAAGGCAACGAUCAGUAGCCGGCCUGAGAGGGCGACCGGCCACAUUGGGACUGAGACACGGCCCAAACUCCUACGGGAGGCAGCAGUGGGGAAUAUUGCACAAUGGGGGGAACCCUGAUGCAGCGACGCCGCGUGAGCGAGGAAGUAUUUCGGUAUGUAAAGCUCUAUCAGCAGGGACGAAAAAAGACGGUACCUGACUAAGAAGCCCCGGCUAACUACGUGCCAGCAGCCGCGGUAAUACGUAGGGGGCAAGCGUUAUCCGGAUUUACUGGGUGUAAAGGGAGCGUAGACGGCAAGGCAAGCCAGAAGUGAAAGGGCAGGGCUCAACCCUGUACAUGCUUUUGGAACUGUGGUGCUAGAGUGCAGGAGAGGUAAGUGGAAUUCCUAGUGUAGCGGUGAAAUGCGUAGAUAUUAGGAGGAACACCAGUGGCGAAGGCGGCUUACUGGACUGUAACUGACGUUGAGGCUCGAAAGCGUGGGGAGCAAACAGGAUUAGAUACCCUGGUAGUCCACGCUGUAAACGAUGAAUACUAGGUGUUGGGG
rnacentral:rRNA from 1 species